ACGGUCCUAAGGUAGCGAAAUUCCUUGUCGGGUAAGUUCCGACCUGCACGAAUGGCGUAACGACUUCCCCACUGUCUCGACCAGGAGCUCGGCGAAAUUGCAGUACGAGUAAAGAUGCUCGUUAAGCGCAGAAGGACGAAAAGACCCCGGGACCUUUACUAUACCUUGGUAUUGGCGUUAGGCGCGGAUUGUGUAGCAUAGGCGGGAGGCUUCGAAGCGUGGGCGCCAGCUCAUGUGGAGCCGCAAGGUGAAAUACCGCUCUGUUCUCGUUUGACGUCUAACCUCGACAAGUCAUCCUUGUCAGGGACAGUGCCUGGCGGGUAGUUCAACUGGGGCGGUUGCCUCCCAAAGAGUAACGGAGGCGCUCAAAGGUCCGCUCAGCCCGGUUGGCAAUCGGGUGUCGAGUGUAAUCGCACAAGCGGGCUUGACUGCGAGGACGACGGUCCGAGCAGGGACGAAAGUCGGAGAUAGUGAUCCGGUGCCGGCGCACGGGCGCGGCAUCGCUCAACGGAUAAAAGGUACUCCGGGGAUAACAGGCUGAUCAUUCCCAAGAGUCCAUAUCGACGGGAUGGUUUGGCACCUCGAUGUCGGCUCGUCGCAUCCUGGGGCUGGAGCAGGUCCCAAGGGUUCGGCUGUUCGCCGAUUAAAGCGGCACGCGAGCUGGGUUCAGAACGUCGUGAGACAGUUUGGUCUCUAUCCUCUGCGCUCGUUGGAAUCCUGAGGAGGCCUGCCCAUAGUACGAGAGGACCUGGGUGGACGAACCUCUGGUAUGCCGGUUGUCGCGCCAGCGGCACGGCCGGUUGGCUACGUUCGGGAGGGAUAACCGCUGAAAGCAUCUAAGCGGGAAGCCUGCUCCAAGAUUAGGAUUCCAUGGAUCUUCGAGAUCCUGUAGCCCGCAUGUUGAACACGUGUUUGAUAGGCCGGAGGUGGAAGCCCCGUGAGGGGUGGAGCCGACCGGUACUAACGGGCGAUGGCGACACAAC
rnacentral:rRNA from 1 species